UUGUUAUGAUAAUUUGUUAUUUAUUCUUGUUUCUUUUUAAAUUACAAUUUUCUCUGUACUUUUAAAUUUUGAAAAUACAAAGAAUGUUUGUGAUCCUUCAGGGAAAACAUAUGCCAUGUUGUUGAAACUCCUGCUGAGGUAUCUGACAAAAUUAAGAAGUUAGCUACUAUCGUUCAUGGUCAUGGAUCUUGUUUCACUACUAUUGCUUUUUGUUGAUGGUCGUGAUGGACACGCUAAUUUAUUUAUAAUUUCCACCUGUCACUAUGAAACUAUUCACGCUUUUAACCUGAUUUCACAUCUUUAUUUGAAACAAAACUUUAUUUUUCAUUUCAUCUGGUUUAUGGAGAUGUUGAAAUGAUGUCAUCUUUGCAGCAGUUAGACCUCGUGUUGCUAUUAUAAUGGGAUCUCAGACUGAUCUUCCUGUGAUGAAAGUUGUUGAGAGGGUUUCAAAAGAGUUCAACAUACCUUGUGAGGAUGUAGAGAUUCUUCGUAGAGUGUAGCAACCUUCAUAGACAUAAUAAAAAAUAACAUUUUCUUAUGUCUUAUGUCAAGAGCAAGUCAUCGCAACCUUCGUAGACAUAUUGUUGUUGUUUGGUUUGUGGGGGCAAGAACUAUAAGCACAACCCUGAAAUACAUAUACAAGCUAGGAGCUUUACACUGGCAGAGAAAAGGAUGUGAUCAUGCAAUAUAAUGGCAAAUCUGAUGGUUUUUAUUAGAGUGGGUGUUUCUUUAGUAGCUUGAACUUGGUUACAGUUGUAGCAAAUCUGACAGGCACUAAGUUUGACUUCUUGGCCUACUCGUCGGCGCUCAAGCAUUUGGUACUUGGUCAGGUCUACUUAUUACACGGUUCUUUCUUGUUCAAGUAUCCUUGUCUUCAUGGUGGCAACAUGAUUAUUCUGGUCACCAUGGGAAACUAUACUCUUUACAUAUUUGGAUAUUCUAUUGUUGUUGUACAUUUGUUCCAUGGCAUACAUUUUCAUAUGUGUAUUAACAAUUGCAUAUGCAUUUGGCAGGAUGACUUAAUAAGGCCAUGUCAUAGCGAAAUACUAUUUCUUCAA